rnacentral:rRNA from 1 species
AGAGUUUGAUCCUGGCUCAGAACGAACGCUGGCGGCAGCCUCAAACAUGCAAGUCUAGGGGGUGUAGCAAUACAUCACCGGCGGACGGGUGCGUAACGCGUGGGAAUAUACCUUUUGGUUCGGAACAACUGAGGGAAACUUCAGCUAAUACCGAAUGUGCCCUAACGGGGAAAGAUUUAUCGCCAAAGGAUUAGCCCGCGUAGGAUUAGCUAGUUGGUGAGGUAAUGGCUCACCAAGGCUCCGAUCCUUAGCUGUUCUGAGAGGAAGAUCAGCCACACUGGGACUGAGACACGGCCCAGACUCCUACGGGAGGCAGCAGUUGGGAAUCUUGGACAAUGGGGGAAACCCUGAUCCAGCCAUGCCGCGUGAGUGAUGAAGGCCUUCGGGUUGUAAAACUCUUUCGACGGGGACGAUAAUGACGGUACCCGUAGAAGAAGCUCCGGCUAACUUCGUGCCAGCAGCCGCGGUAAUACGAAGGGGGCUAGCGUUGUUCGGAAUUACUGGGCGUAAAGCGCGCGCAGGCGGUCUUCCAAGUCAGUGGUGAAAGCCCGGAGCUCAACUCCGGAACUGCCAUUGAAACUGUAAGACUUGAGGACGAGAGAGGUGAGUGGAAUUCCCAGUGUAGAGGUGAAAUUCGUAGAUAUUGGGAAGAACACCGGUGGCGAAGGCGGCUCACUGGCUCGUUUCUGACGCUCAGGCGCGACAGCGUGGGGAUCAAACAGGAUUAGAUACCCUAGUAGUCC